UGCAGUCGAGCGAUGAAUCCCUUCGGGGAUGGAUUAGCGGCGGACGGGUGAGUAACACGUGGGCAACCUGCCUCAAAGUGGGGGAUAGCCUCCCGAAAGGGAGAUUAAUACCGCAUAAUAUUAGUUUUUCACAUGGAAGAUUAAUUAAAGGAGUAAUCCGCUUUGAGAUGGGCCCGCGGCGCAUUAGCUAGUUGGUGAGGUAACGGCUCACCAAGGCCACGAUGCGUAGCCGACCUGAGAGGGUGAUCGGCCACAUUGGAACUGAGACACGGUCCAGACUCCUACGGGAGGCAGCAGUGGGGAAUAUUGCACAAUGGGCGAAAGCCUGAUGCAGCAACGCCGCGUGAGUGAUGAAGGCCUUCGGGUUGUAAAGCUCUGUCUUUGGGGACGAUAAUGACGGUACCCAAGGAGGAAGCCACGGCUAACUACGUGCCAGCAGCCGCGGUAAUACGUAGGUGGCAAGCGUUGUCCGGAUUUACUGGGCGUAAAGGAUGCGUAGGCGGAUAUUUAAGUCAGAUGUGAAAACCCCGAGCUUAACUUGGGGACUGCAUUUGAAACUGGGUAUCUAGAGUGCGGGAGAGGAAAGUGGAAUUCCUAGUGUAGCGGUGAAAUGCGUAGAGAUUAGGAAGAACACCAGUGGCGAAGGCGACUUUCUGGACCGUA
rnacentral:rRNA from 1 species